GCGGAGGAAAAGAAACCAACAGGGAUUGCCCUAGUAACGGCGAGUGAAGCGGCAACAGCUCAAAUUUGAAAUCUGGCGUCUUUGGCGUCCGAGUUGUAAUUUGCAGAGGGCGCUUUGGCAUCGGCAGCGGUCCAAGUUCCUUGGAACAGGACGUCACAGAGGGUGAGAAUCCCGUACGUGAUCGCUAGCCUUUACCGUGUAAAGCCCCUUCGACGAGUCGAGUUGUUUGGGAAUGCAGCUCUAAAUGGGAGGUAAAUUUCUUCUAAAGCUAAAUACUGGCCAGAGACCGAUAGCGCACAAGUAGAGUGAUCGAAAGAUGAAAAGCACUUUGGAAAGAGAGUUAAAAAGCACGUGAAAUUGUUGAAAGGGAAGCGCUUGCAGCCAGACUUGCCUGUAGUUGCUCAUCCGGGUUUCUACCCGGUGCACUCUUCUAUAGGCAGGCCAGCAUCAGUUUGGGCGGUUGGAUAAAGGUCUCUGUCAUGUACCUCUCUUCGGGGAGAACUUAUAGGGGAGACGACAUGCAACCAGCCCGGACUGAGGUCCGCGCAUCUGCUAGGAUGCUGGCGUAAUGGCUGUAAGCGGCCCGUCUUGAAACACGGACCAAGGAGUCUAACAUCUAUGCGAGUGUUUGGGUGUCAAGCCCGAACGCGUAAUGAAAGUGAACGGAGGUGGGAACCUUUCGGGGUGCACCAUCGACCGAUCCUGAUGUCUUCGGAUGGAUUUGAGUAAGAGCAUAGCUGUUGGGACCCGAAAGAUGGUGAACUAUGCUUGAAUAGGGUGAAGCCAGAGGAAACUCUGGUGGAGGCUCGCAGCGGUUCUGACGUGCAAAUCGAUCGUCA
rnacentral:sRNA from 1 species